CUUGCCCGCUGGCGGCAGGCCUAACACAUGCAAGUCGAGCGAGCGGCGGACGGGGGAGUAAUGUCUGGGAAACUGCCUGAUGGAGGGGGAUAACUACUGGAAACGGUAGCUAAUACCACAGACCAUCAGAUGUGCCCAGAUGGGAUUAGCUAGUAGGUGGGGUAAUGGCUCACCUAGGCGACGAUCCCUAGCUGGGUUGAGAGGAAGACCAGCCACACUGGAACUGAGCCACGGUCCAGACUCCUACGGGAGGCAGCAGUGGGGAAUAUUGCACAAUGGGCGAAAGCCUGAUGCAGCCAUGCCGCGUGUGUGAAGAAGGCCUUCGGGUUGUAAAGCACUUUCAGCUGGGAGGCGUUACCCGCAGAAGAAGCACCGGCUAACUACGUGCCAGCAGCCGCGGUAAUAC
rnacentral:rRNA from 1 species